AUUGAACGCUGGCGGCAUGCCUUACACAUGCAAGUCGAACGGUAACAGGUCUUCGGAUGCUGACGAGUGGCGAACGGGUGAGUAAUACAUCGGAACGUGCCCGAGAGUGGGGGAUAACGAGGCGAAAGCUUUGCUAAUACCGCAUACGAUCUCAGGAUGAAAGCAGGGGACCGCGAGGCCUUGCGCUCACGGAGCGGCCGAUGGCAGAUUAGGUAGUUGGUGGGAUAAAAGCUUACCAAGCCGACGAUCUGUAGCUGGUCUGAGAGGACGACCAGCCAGACUGGGACUGAGACACGGGCCAGACUCCUACGGGAGGCAGCAGUGGGGAAUUUUGGACAAUGGGCGCAAGCCUGAUCCGGCCAUGCCGCGUGCAGGAUGAAGGCCUUCGGGUUGUAAACUGCUUUUGUACGGAACGAAAAGACUCUGGUUAAUACCUGGGGUCCAUGACGGUACCGUAAGAAUAAGCACCGGCUAACUACGUGCCAGCCGCCGCCGUAAGAC
rnacentral:rRNA from 1 species